rnacentral:lncRNA from 1 species
UGGCCCUUGCCAGAACACUUAAUCUAACAGAACAUCUCGCUUCACGACGCACGGAAACCAAUGCAUACGUUUUCCGCAAACAAAAAUGCAUCGCCCUCAUUGCGACCAUGAUACCGUGAAACUUUAGAAAAACCAAGCAUGCCCGCGAUCCGAUGCAUGUUCUACUGCGUUCGUUAUGCAUACAUAAUGCAGAAGUGAAAUGAGCAUGCACUUAGCAAUUUUAAGCAUCAACGGUCCGCUUGAAGAACAAUUCAUUGUCACCGCUCCUGCUUCUGCCAGUGCAGCGAUUCGCGGUGCCCGCAGUCCACAGCCAAUGCUCACACCGCGGUGCCACCGUCGCAAGAAAAUGGCGGCGCCAAAGAACAGCUCUGAAUUUUAGUCUAUAUAGAUUCGUAAUUUUAGGCUCUGCCUAAUACAUAAUGCACACCGACAAGGCUGGUGACUUACUCAGGGCUGUCAUGGUAGUGUGUUUUCCUAUGUGUCUUCAAGUGAUAAGACCGCACAAAGGACUUGGAGCAGAUGGUACAGCGGUAUGGUCGCUCGCCUGAGUGGAUGCGUAGGUGAUCCUUCAGAUGGCUCGUAUGUACAAAAGCUUGAGGGCACUUAGGGCACUGAUAUGGCCGCUCGCCUGAGUGGAUGCGCAAAUGACCAUUCAGAACAGAUUUGUAUGAGAAGCUCUGAGGGCACAAAUGGCAUUUAAAUGGCCGCUCACCAGUGUGGACACGCAAGUGUCUGUUAAGAUGGGCCUUUUGCGAGAAGCUCAGAGAACAUGAAGGGCACUGAAAUGGCUUCUCGCCUGAGUGAACCCGCAAAUGCUUAAUCAUGCUGGAUCUUCCCGAGAAGCUCCGAGGGCACAAAUGGCACUGAAAUGGCCACUCCUUUAUGUGUACCCUGAUGUGUGUUUUCAAAUCGGACAGUUUUGCAGUUUCAUAGUCACAGCUAUCACAGCGGUGGAGGUGUCCUUGUUGCAACUUGUUAUCCUUGGUAGUUGUUGGGCAGGAUGAAUGCUUUGAUCCUGCACAAU